rnacentral:rRNA from 1 species
AGAGUUUGAUCCUGGCUCAGGACGAACGCUGGCGGCGUGCUUAACACAUGCAACUGGUGCGACGAACCAGGGCUUGCCCUGGGGCAAAGCCGCGAACGGGUGAGUAACACGUGGGUAAUCUGCCCCGAUGACCGGGACAACCCGAGGAAACUCGGGCUAAUACCGGAUGUGGUGCACAGGCAUAAGCCUGUUCACUAAAGGAAGCUUCGGCCUCCGCAUUGGGAGGAGCCCGCGGCCCAUUAGCUUGUUGGUGGGGUAACGGCCUACCAAGGCACCGAUGGGUAGCUGGUCUGAGAGGACGAUCAGCCACACUGGGAAGGAGACACGGCCCAGACUCCUACGGGAGGCAGCAGUGGGGAAUCUUGCGCAAUGCGCGAAAGCGUGACGCAGCAACGCCGCGUGGGGGAAGAAUGCCUUCGGGUUGUAAACACCGGGCAGGAGGGACGAAGGCUCACCGGUGAAUAGCCGUGUGAGUUGACGGACCUCCACCAGAAGUUCCA